rnacentral:pre_miRNA from 1 species
AACCCGUAAUACCAGACUUGUGUUGGAGUAAUAGAUUAUAUUCUCAAGUUUGGUAUGACCGGUCUC